CGCACGAGCGCACCCUUAUCCUUAGUUGCCAGCACGUAAUGGUGGGAACUCUAANCGNNACUGCCGGUGACAAACCGGAGGAAGGUGGGGACGACGUCAAGUCAUCAUGGCCCUUACGAGAUGGGCUACACACGUGCUACAAUGGCAAGUACAAAGGGUUGCAAACUCGCGAGAGUAAGCGGAUCCCAUAAAGCUUGUCGUAGUCCGGAUUGGAGUCUGCAACUCGACUCCAUGAAGUCGGAAUCGCUAGUAAUCGUGGAUCAGAAUGCCACGGUGAAUACGUUCCCGGGCCUUGUACACACCGCCCGUCACACCAUGGGAGUGGGCUGCAAAAGAAGUGGAUAGCUUAACCUUCGGGAGGGCGUUCACCACUUUGUGGUUCAUGACUGGGGUGAAGUCGUAACAAGGUAGCCGUAGGGGAACCUGCGGCUGGAUCACCUCCUU
rnacentral:rRNA from 1 species